GUUUGCUUAGCUCAGCGUUAGGGUAUUAGACUACAGUUCUAGAGAUCAUAAGUUCAAAUCUCAUCGGCAAUG
rnacentral:tRNA from 1 species